rnacentral:rRNA from 1 species
UAAUUCGAUGCCAACGCGAAGAACCUUACCUGGGCUUGACAUCACCCGAAAUCACCCUUUAUACGGUGAGUGCCUCGAUUUAUCGAGGAAUCGUGUGACAGGUGCUGCAUGGCUGUCGUCAGUUCGUGUCGUGAGAUGUUGGGUUAAGUCCCGCAACGAACGCAACCCCUGUCUUUAGUUACCAGCAUUAAGUUGGGGACUCUAGAGAGACUGCCAAGGUGACAACUUGGAGGAAGGUGGGGACGACGUCAAGUCAUCAUGGUCCUUACGUCCAGGGCUAGAAACGUACUACAAUGGUUGGCACAGAGGGGAGCAACACAGCGAUGUGAAGCAAAUCCUUAAAACCAACCUCAGUUCGGAUUGGAGUCUGCAACUCGACNNCNNGAAGUUGGAAUCGCUAGUAAUCGCGGAUCAGCAAUGCCGCGGUGAAUACGUUCCCGGGUCUUGUACACACCGCCCGUCAAGUCAA